rnacentral:tRNA from 1 species
GGGCGGCUGGCCUAAUGGUAAGGCGUCUGAUUUCGGUUGAUUUUCACACUCAUGCCAUCUCAGAAGACUUGCAGGUUCGAUCCCUGCGUCGCUCA